rnacentral:rRNA from 1 species
ACUGCUAUCGGGGUGGGACUAAGACAUGCGAGUCGAGCGUCUCUAGCUAUGUUGAGACGCGGCAUACGGCUCAGUAACACGUGGCUAACCUACCCUCAGGACGGGGACAAACCCGGGAAACUGGGGCUAAUAUCCGAUAGGCGAGGAAUCCUGGAAUGGUUCUUCACCCAAAGGACAUUGGAAACAUGCUUUCUCUGUCGCCUGGGGAUGGGGCCGCGUCCGAUCAGGUUGUUGGUGAGGUAAUGGCUCACCAAGCCUUUAACCGGUACGGGCCGUGAGAGCGGUAGCCCGGAGAUGGGUACUGAGACAAGGACCCAGGCCCUACGGGGCGCAGCAGUCGCGAAAACUCCGCAAUGCACGAAAGUGUGACGGGGCUACCCCGAGUGCCGUCCGCUGAGGAUGGCUUUUCCUUGGUGUAACUAGCCGGGGGAAUAAGGAGAGGGCAAGACUGGUGUCAGCCGCCGCGGUAAUACCAGCUCUCCGAGUGGUAGGGAUGAUUAUUGGGCUUAAAGCGUCCGUAGCCGGUUUAGCAAGUUUCCUGUUAAAUUCAGCGACCUAAUCGUUGAGCCGCGGGAAAUACUACUAGGCUAGGAGGCGGGAGAGGUCGACGGUACUUCUGGGGUAGGGGUGAAAUCCUAUAAUCCCGGGAGGACCACCAGUGGCGAAGGCUGUCGACUAAAACGCGCUCGACGGUGAGGGACGAAAGCUGGGGGAGCGAACCGGAUUAGAUACCCGGGUAGUCCCAGCUGUAAACGAUGCGGGCUAGGUGUUGGGGUGGCUACGUGCCACUUCAGUGCCGCAGGGAAGCCAUUAAGCCCGCCGCCUGGGGAGUACGGCCGCAAGGCUGAAACGUAAAGGAAUUGGCGGGGGAGCACCACAAGGCGUGAAG